UGGGGAGUAGCCAAGUGGUAAGGCACCGCGCUCUGGACGCGGCAUUCGCAGGUUCGAUCCCUGCCUCCCCAG
rnacentral:tRNA from 1 species